GACGAACGCUGGCGGCGUGCCUAAUACAUGCAAGUAGAACGCUGAAGAGAGGAGCUUGCUCUUCUUGGAUGAGUUGCGAACGGGUGAGUAACGCGUAGGUAACCUGCCUUGUAGCGGGGGAUAACUAUUGGAAACGAUAGCUAAUACCGCAUAACAAUGGAUGACACAUGUCAUUUAUUUGAAAGGGGCAAUUGCUCCACUACAAGAUGGACCUGCGUUGUAUUAGCUAGUAGGUGAGGUAAUGGCUCACCUAGGCGACGAUACAUAGCCGACCUGAGAGGGUGAUCGGCCACACUGGGACUGAGACACGGCCCAGACUCCUACGGGAGGCAGCAGUAGGGAAUCUUCGGCAAUGGGGGCAACCCUGGCCGAGCAACGCCGCGUGAGUGAAGAAGGUUUUCGGAUCGUAAAGCUCUGUUGUAAGUCAAGAACGGGUGUGAGAGUGGAAAGUUCACACUGUGACGGUAGCUUACCAGAAAGGGACGGCUAACUACGUG
rnacentral:rRNA from 1 species